CUAUAUGAAUUUUCAAUAAUUUUGCCACGUGGCAAGUUUUUCUCCACCCUCACUAAUCUUCUUUUUGAAUUGAUUUUUACUCUUGGCUUUUCCACUCCCCUCCUCUCUAUUCAAUAACAUGUAAUCAAUGUGCUUUUUAAUUUAUACGUUUCCUCUUCAAAAUUACUUGUUUUGAAUUGAUUUUUAUUCUUGGCUUUUCUCCUCCCAUCCUCUCUAUUCAAUGACAUGUAAUCAAUGUGCUUUUUAAUUUAUACGUUUUCUCUUCAAAAUUAGUCCUUUCUUCUCCCACAAACAAUUUCUAACGUGCAAAAUUAAAAAAUGAGAAAAUGAAUUGUAACAUAUCGAAACCUCGGUAAGCUAUU
rnacentral:lncRNA from 1 species